rnacentral:lncRNA from 1 species
AUCUUGAAAACGGAAAAUAAAAACAGCAGACCUAUGAAGGUCGAAGGGGAAGAAAAGCUGUAUCGAUUGUUGAGAUCUGGCGACUUGUUUAAAUUUCAUCAGCCUCACUUCUAUGAACUCUCAGGCCUCACGUGUACCAGCUCUCUGCUCUCCUUUGCCUUGGGACGUUCCAUCCCUGGAAGUUUCCCUGCCCACAUCUUUGUAGAGAGUCCAUUCUCCAAGCUUCAGUGUGUCAUCUGUGAGGACCGUGACCCACCUGGUACAUCGCCUCAGGGCAUUCAUUUCAGGCUCCUUCUAAAUGGCCAAGUUUUCAAGAUUGUUUUGGCUCUAGCAAAACAAGUUGGAACAUUCACAUCAUCCAGUUUCAAGUUCAGAAUAGUCGAAACAGGCCUUUUCAAGAACAGUAUUCAUUGAAAUGCAUCAAAGCUCUUCUGCCAGCCUAACAAGCAUAGCAAGAAGAUAUAGCCCCACAACCACUUUAUGCACAAAGUUAGAAGCAUAAAAUCUCAUGGAAGGAGACCGAUUAUCUACAGAAGAGGUUGUCUUGCCAUUUCUCUCAUGUUAGAGCUGCACUGAUGAGGAAACUGAAACAGAAAAUCCAGAGUAAAUUCCACCAGGCCACACAGCAAGGUCUGAUAGAGCCAGGAGAGACUUUAUGAAAUCCAGACUCUCACACUAAUGCUCUAUCAGCUAGACCUCCAUGUGAGUCUCCCCAAUGUAGGUAGGAAGUGCUUUCCC